rfam:Haemonchus placei strain MHpl1 genome assembly, scaffold: HPLM_scaffold0008129
GGCCCAAAUUUGAAGUAGACUUGAUUAGAAGGAUCAUCUGACCCUACUAAACUACUCUACUUCGAGUUUGUGCUC